rnacentral:rRNA from 1 species
UGAGGAAUAUUGCACAAUGGGCGCAAGCCUGAUGCAGCGACGCCGCGUGUGGGAUGAAGGGGCUACGCCUCGUAAACCACUGUAGCCCGGGACGAAAAACGCCUUAGAGGCGUUAGACGGUACCGGGAAAGAAAGGGUCGGCUAACUACGUGCCAGCAGCCGCGGUAAUACGUAGGACCCAAGCGUUGUCCGGAUUUACUGGGUGUAAAGGGUGCGCAGGCGGAUGGGUAAGUCAGGGGUGAAAGUCUGCAGCUUAACAGUAGAAUUGCCUUGGAUACUGCUCAUCUUGAGUGUGGGAGAGGUUGAUGGAAUUCCAGGUGUAGCAGUGAAAUGCGAAGAUAUCUGGAAGAACACCAGUGGCGAAGGCGGUCAACUGGCCCAUAACUGACGCUCAUGCACGAAAGCGUGG